rnacentral:misc_RNA from 1 species
AUGGAUUGUGUGUGGCGCUCUUCACCGCAUGUGGACUAGAGUAGAUCUAGGAACAUCAGACAAGAAGACACGUAUGUGAAACCCUGCGGAUAGCCCAUAUGUGAACUUUUUUUCCAGAUACGGGGGAACGGACACCGGUCGUGCCGUGAGCACUAUUCUGCAGGGCAUACUUACAAAUGAAACUGCACUGCAGUUCAGCUGGAAAGGGUCGCAGGGGAGGAAGCACGCCUUCGUGAAGCUCAUGGCCAUCACGAAUAUAACAUCUGUGAGGAGCACGUUCCCUGACGCUUCACUAGCAUCAGUGGCUGGAGUCGCAAAACGCUGGUUGGUUGGAGCAGCUGACAGGGAUGGAGGCCGGAAUGAAAGAAGGCGCCGUGACCCUGCUUCAAGCCCACCAAAUAUGAACUAGUGUUUGAAACUUGUGAACGUGUCGGUGUAGAUAU